rnacentral:rRNA from 1 species
GGUGCGAAAGCAGGUCAUAGUGAUCCGGUGGUUCUGAAUGGAAGGGCCAUCGCUCAACGGAUAAAAGGUACUCCGGGGAUAACAGGCUGAUACCGCCCAAGAGUUCAUAUCGACGGCGGUGUUUGGCACCUCGAUGUCGGCUCAUCACAUCCUGGGGCUGAAGUAGGUCCCAAGGGUAUGGCUGUUCGCCAUUUAAAGUGGUACGCGAGCUGGGUUUAGAACGUCGUGAGACAGUUCGGUCCCUAUCUGCCGUGGGCGCUGGAGAACUGAGGGGGGCUGCUCCUAGUACGAGAGGACCGGAGUGGACGCAUCACUGGUGUUCGGGUUGUCAUGCCAAUGGCACUGCCCGGUAGCUAAAUGCGGAAGAGAUAAGUGCUGAAAGCAUCUAAGCACGAAACUUGCCCCGAGAUGAGUUCUCCCUGACCCUUUAAGGGUCCUGAAGGAACGUUGAA